AACCAUUCUCACCUGCGGCUAGACCUGCGGAGGGAUCAUUACCGAGUUUACAACUCCCAAACCCCUGUGAACAUACCUAUACGUUGCCUCGGCGGAUCAGCCCGCGCCCUGUAAAACGGGACGGCCCGCCCGAGGACCCUAAACUCUGUUUUUAGUGGAACUUCUGAGUAAAACAAACAAAUAAAUCAAAACUUUUAACAAUGGAUCU
rnacentral:misc_RNA from 1 species